AUUGAACGCUGGCGGCAGGCCUAACACAUGCAAGUCGGACGGUAGCACAGAGAGCUUGCUCUCGGGUGACGAGUGGCGGACGGGUGAGUAAUGUCUGGGGAUCUGCCCGAUAGAGGGGGAUAACCACUGGAAACGGUGGCUAAUACCGCAUAACGUCGCAAGACCAAAGAGCGGGACCUUCGGGCCUCUCACUAUGGGAUGAACCCAGGUGGGAUUAGCUAGUAGGUGGGGUAACGGCCCACCUAGGAGACGGUCCCUAGCUGGUCUGGGAGGAUGCCCAGCCAAACUGGAACGGAUACACGGUCCAGACGCCUACGGGAGGCAGCAGUGGGGAAUAUUGCACAAUGGGCGCAAGCCUGAUGCAGCCAUGCCGCGUGUAUGAAGAAGGCCUUCGGGUUGUAAAGUACUUUCAGCGGGCAGGAAGGCGAUGUGGUUAAUAACCGCGUCGAUUGACGUUACCCGCAGAAGAAGCACCGGCUAACUCCGUGCCAGCCGCCGCCGUAA
rnacentral:rRNA from 1 species